CAGGGUUCCAUAUGGUCAGUUACGGCUCCCAGGACAUUAGUAGCAGGAAGCACAACCGUGGAAGCCUUGGGAGCCACUGGGGAGCCCAGUACCUGCCCCUGAAAUGUCUCUCCAGCUGGUCCUAGACCCACUACGGGGUGCUCUGCUGGUGACGUCUGAAAACUUGACACAGUCCCAGGAUUCUCUGGGUUUCCCUAGGACACCCUGCAUCUCUGAACAACGGAAAACGAAUUCAGAAGAAAAUAACACAUGGCUUGAAUCAAAACAUUCAGAGAAAAUCAAGUGAGGAGGAAACACACUGCUUGGGACUAGAGCGGACACUUCCCUAAGCACAGAGCAACAGAGCAACAUGAACCACAGUCUCAGAAGCAUAAGCAACAAGACUACGGUGGGAGGCAUGAUGAGAACUGGAGAGGACCACUUCCUUCUAUCAACACAAGAUUCUCUCCCACGACAAAAGAGCUAAAAAAAAAAAAAAAAGAAAAGGAUGGUGGCUCCACUGACUGAAAGAAAGAUAAGAGAAAAUAACCAAGAUAACAGAUACUGGCUGAGGAGGAGUUGGAGCUGCCGGCCUUCCCCAGGCAGUCCUUCUGCUUCAGCUGCCUUUGUUCCAGAGAUGAGCUAUGAAGAAUAUCCGCCUGUUCUGGAAAAUGGACAACUGUGGGGGAGGACGACUGCGUUCCAAGAAAAGAACAAAACCAGACCAUUUCCAACAAUAAUUAAGAAACCAAGGUGUGGUGAAAAAUCUGCAUAAAAGGCUUUAGAAUAAGGUCAUCCAAAUAUAUUUGUACAUAGAACUGGAAACACAUAAAACAUCCUUUCAUUAAAACCGUGCAUAUUUGAGAUUCUUGACU